rnacentral:rRNA from 1 species
GACGAACGCUGGCGGCGUGCUUAACACAUGCAAGUCGAACGAUGAACCCGGAGCUUGCUCCGGUGGAUUAGUGGCGAACGGGUGAGUAACACGUGAGUAACCUGCCCUUGACUCUGGGAUAACUGCGGGAAACUGUAGCUAAUACCGGAUACGACCCUCGGCGGCAUCGCCAGGGGGUGGAAAGAAUUCCGGUCAAGGAUGGACUCGCGGCCUAUCAGCUAGUUGGUGAGGUAACGGCUCACCAAGGCGACGACGGGUAGCCGGCCUGAGAGGGUGACCGGCCCCACUGGGACUGAGACACGGCCCAGACUCCUGCGGGAGGCAGCAGCGGGGAAUAUUGCACAAUGGGCGCAAGCCUGAUGCAGCAACGCCGCGUGAGGGAUGACGGCCUUCGGGUUGUAAACCUCUUUUAGUAGGGAAGAAGCGAAAGUGACGGUACCUGCAGAAAAAGCACCGGCUAACUACGUGCCAGCCGCCGCAGUAA